UACAGAGGUUGCAAACGUUGUUCGGAAUCACUGGGCAUAAAGCGCACGUAGGCGGUCUGUUAAGUCAGGUGUGAAAGCCCCCCGGCUCAACCGGGGAACAGCAUCUGGAUACUGGCAGACUCGAGGAUGGUAGGGGUGAGUGGAACUCCAGGUGGAGCGGUGAAAUGCGUAGAUAUCUGGAGGAACACCGGUGGCGAAAGCGGCUCACUGGACCAUAACUGACGCUGAGGUGCGAAAGCUAGGGUAGCAAACGGGG
rnacentral:rRNA from 1 species